GCUCUGGAUUCAGCGGCGGACGGGUGAGUAAUGCCUAGGAAUCUGCCUGGUAGUGGGGGACAACGUUUCGAAAGGAACGCUAAUACCGCAUACGUCCUACGGGAGAAAGCAGGGGACCUUCGGGCCUUGCGCUAUCAGAUGAGCCUAGGUCGGAUUAGCUUGUUGGUGAGGUAAUGGCUCACCAAGGCGACGAUCCGUAACUGGUCUGAGAGGAUGAUCAGUCACACUGGAACUGAGACACGGUCCAGACUCCUACGGGAGGCAGCAGUGGGGAAUAUUGGACAAUGGGCGAAAGCCUGAUCCAGCCAUGCCGCGUGUGUGAAGAAGGUCUUCGGAUUGUAAAGCACUUUAAGUUGGGAGGAAGGGUUGUAGAUUAAUACUCUGCAAUUUUGACGUUACCGACAGAAUAAGCACCGGCUAACUCUGUGCCAGCAGCCGCGGUAAUACAGAGGGUGCAAGCGUUAAUCGGAAUUACUGGGCGUAAAGCGCGCGUAGGUGGUUUGUUAAGUUGGAUGUGAAAGCCCCGGGCUCAACCUGGGAACUGCAUCCAAAACUGGCAAGCUAGAGUACGGUAGAGGGUGGUGGAAUUUCCUGUGUAGCGGUGAAAUGCGUAGAUAUAGGAAGGAACACCAGUGGCGAAGGCGACCACCUGGACUGAUACUGACACUGAGGUGCGAAAGCGUGGGGAGCAAACAGGAUUAGAUACCCUGGUAGUCCACGCCGUAAACGAUGUCAACUAGCCGUUGGAAUCCUUGAAC
rnacentral:rRNA from 1 species